rnacentral:snRNA from 1 species
AUGCUCGCUUCGGCAGCACAUAUACUAAAAUUGGAACGAUACAGAGACAAUUAGCAUGGCCUCAGUGCAAGGAUGACAUGCAAAUUCAUGAAGCGUUCCAUAUUUUU